GCGUCAGUAGUGCAACGGGUUAAAGCACGCGCUCCUGGAUAGAGUGAGAUGUAGGUUCGAAUCCCACUUGACGCG